rnacentral:rRNA from 1 species
AGCGGCGGACGGGUGAGUAACACGUGGGCAACCUGCCUCAUAGAGGGGAAUAGCCUUCCGAAAGGGAGAUUAAUACCGCAUAAGAUUGUAGCUUCGCAUGAAGUAGCAAUUAAAGGAGUAAUCCGCUAUGAGAUGGGCCCGCGGCGCAUUAGCUAGUUGGUGAGGUAACGGCUCACCAAGGCGACGAUGCGUGGCCGACCUGAGAGGGUGAUCGGCCACAUUGGGACUGAGACACGGCCCAGACUCCUACGGGAGGCAGCAGUGGGGAAUAUUGCACAAUGGGGGAAACCCUGAUGCAGCAACGCCGCGUGAGUGAUGACGGCCUUCGGAUCGUAAAACCCUGUUGUUAGAGAAGAAAGUGCGUGAGAGUAACUGUUCACGUUUCGACGGUAUCUAACCAGAAAGCCACGGCUAACUACGUGCCAGCAGCCGCGGUAAUACGUAGGUGGCAAGCGUUAUCCGGAUUUAUUGGGCGUAAAGGGAACGCAGGCGGUCUUUUAAGUCUGAUGUGAAAGCCUUCGGCUUAACCGGAGUAGUGCAUUGGAAACUGGGAGACUUGAGUGCAGAAAAGGAGAGUGGAACUCCUGUGUAGCGGUGAAUGCGUAGAUUUUUGGAAAACACCAGUGGCGAAGCGGCUCUCUGUCUGUACUGACCUAAGUNCNAAGCNGGGUACAAACAGAUAAUACCUGUA